UCAGCCUGGGCAGAAGUUGACAGAGAAAAGGAGGUGAGAGAAAAACAAGAUAUGAGAAAAAAAGGCAAAAUCCAAGAAUGAUUUGCACCGGACUGAGAAGAGCGUGAGAUGAAACCCAAAUUCUUAACUGGUUGAGUUCUAGAAAGAGCGAUGGUAGUAAUUUGGGGGAACUGGUGGUGCCGAGUUCACUUGAUUCUACUUUGAAAACUCUCAUUAAUUGUGCAUGGCUGUGCACAUACACACACCACAGAAACAAAAUUCCUGGAAUGGAAUUGCUUCAGCAAUAACUAAAGUCAAUGAAGAAAGUGAGGGACUUGUAAAAGUUUCCCAGCUGAUUCUGCCAACUGAAAUGCCUUUAUUGUGCUGUUUUGGUAAACAGAAUGAGUCUCAAAACUGAAAUCAGGAUUGUCCAAAUCAAUUUGAGGCCCUGUGUCUGUGUAAACUGAUUUCCGUGGCUACUCCUCCAUAAAUGACUUUGCUAUACUCUUCCUCCAAAAGGACUUGGAUCUAGGAUGGCCAUAGCAUCAG